GAGGAAGCUAGAGAGAGAGAUGAUAUCUGAAUGGGGCGGAGCCUGAGCCUGAGGGAGCGAGAGAGAGAGAGAGAUAAUAUCUGAAUGGGGCGGAGCCUGAGGGAGCGAGAGAGAGAGAGAGAGAGAGA